rnacentral:rRNA from 1 species
AAGCUCGUAGUUGAAUUUCGGGCCUGGCCGGGCGGUCGGCUUAACGGCGUGCACUGUCUGGCUGGGCCUUACCUCUUGGUGAGCUGGCGUGUCCUUUAUUGGAUGCGUCGGGGAACCAGGACUUUUACCUUGAGAAAAUUAGAGUGUUCAAAGCAGGCCUAUGCCCGAAUACAUUAGCAUGGAAUAAUAAAAUAGGACGUGCGGUUCUAUUUUGUUGGUUUCUAGAGUCGCCGUAAUGAUAAUAGGGAUAGUUGGG